rnacentral:ncRNA from 22 species
GAUGUUCAGGUCUGUGGUUGAAAGUCCAAGCCAGUCGCAGGCAAAGGGAUCCACGUAAGCUAGUCCUAAAAGCGGGGCAGUGAUCAUAGUGCGGCCUAGAAGUAAGACCUACCGAUAUUCAAAAAUAAAUUCCAAUCGAGAGAGAGUAGUAGUGAUGCGAACCAGAGCGAACCCUCCAGUAGGCGAGUGUGGGGGAAAAGACCAGGUCAGCUGAAUAUC